rnacentral:rRNA from 1 species
GACGAACGCUGGCGGCGUGCUUAACACAUGCAAGUCGAACGGAAAGGCCCUGCUUUUGUGGGGUGCUCGAGUGGCGAACGGGUGAGUAACACGUGAGUAACCUGCCCUUGACUUUGGGAUAACUUCAGGAAACUGGGGCUAAUACCGGAUAGGAGCUCCUGCUGCAUGGUGGGGGUUGGAAAGUUUCGGCGGUUGGGGAUGGACUCGCGGCUUAUCAGCUUGUUGGUGGGGUAGUGGCUUACCAAGGCUUUGACGGGUAGCCGGCCUGAGAGGGUGACCGGCCACAUUGGGACUGAGAUACGGCCCAGACUCCUACGGGAGGCAGCAGCGGGGAAUAUUGCACAAUGGGCGGAAGCCUGAUGCAGCAACGCCGCGUGCGGGAUGACGGCCUUCGGGUUGUAAUCCGCUUUCGCCUGUGACGAAGCGUGAGUGACGGUAAUGGGUAAAGAAGCACCGGCUAACUACGUG